rnacentral:rRNA from 1 species
ACUCAAAUGAAUUGACGGGGACCCGCACAAGCGGCGGAGCAUGCGGAUUAAUUCGAUGCAACGCGAAGAACCUUACCAAGGCUUGACAUACACGAGAACACUCUAGAAAUAGGGGACUCUUUGGACACUCGUGAACAGGUGGUGCAUGGUUGUCGUCAGCUCGUGUCGUGAGAUGUUGGGUUAAGUCCCGCAACGAGCGCAACCCUCGUUCUAUGUUGCCAGCACGUAAUGGUGGGAACUCAUGGGAUACUGCCGGGGUCAACUCGGAGGAAGGUGGGGAUGACGUCAAAUCAUCAUGCCCCUUAUGUCUUGGGCUUCACGCAUGCUACAAUGGCCGGUACAAAGGGCUGCAAUACCGUGAGGUGGAGCGAAUCCCAAAAAGCCGGUCCCAGUUCGGAUUGAGGUCUGCAACUCGACCUCAUGAAGUCGGAGUCGCUAGUAAUCGCAGAUCAGCAACGCUGCGGUGAAUACGUUCCCGGGUCUUGUACACACCGCCCGU